UCCUUUGCGGGGUGUCUCAUCUAACCCUAAAUGAGGGGCUUCCUCUGUACUUAACGUUUGCUGUUUUGUGUUUCAGGCUUUCAGCAAAUUACAGAGGAAUUUUCAGGUAGCGUUACAAAGGUCUCCGGUCAAAAAAGCCAAGAUAAUCACCCCGUCGAGCUCAGUUUCUUGUCAGAAUCACCGUGAAUGAACUGCCGUGGUCAGCCCGGCUGCCGCGAAGAGUUAGUCUCUGUUGCUCCGGUGUUUUCUAGCAGGGAGUGUUAAGCAGCUGAGCAGAUUAAAAAUGAGCAGGGGGACUUGCCGGACCUCCAGUAGUCCGGUUAGGAAACCUAAGCUCAGACACAC
rnacentral:telomerase_RNA from 1 species